GGCUUGGCAGCUGCCAAUCAUGAAACUCCAAAGGCUGCUUGUCAGUAUGAAUGAUAUAAACCAACUCCCAUGCCUCUGUGACAUUCAGAAUGGAAGAUAUCCCUCUAUGGAUUUUGGUUGCUAAGGUGCUCGACAAUGGUUGCUAGGGAGGGGCUAGGAAGUGUUGAGGUGAUUCAUGAUUGGCUGUUUGUUGUCCCGAGUAAAACGAGACCACCCUUGUGUUUCUAUGACACUUCUAUCCGGAGAUAUCCCUUUGAUGUCUUUCAUUAGAAGUCUAUAGGACUUGUUGCUAAGGUGCCUUAAAUUGUUGCUAGGGCGUGGCUUGAUAGCUUCACAAUGAUCCUGAGAGACUGAUUGGUCGUCUGAGUAAAAUGAGCCCACCCCCUCGUCUCUAUGACACUGUGAUCCAGAGCUAUGUUCAAUACAAAUCCCUAUGCCUUUUCAUUUCAGGGGCCGUCCUACACCAUUAUAAGUCAAUUGGGGCAUUUUUGGGCAGCUCCUGCCCCCCAGGGGUGCAGCUUUUACCCCAUAUUGAGGUAUGCUCUUACAGAGCCUGCCAGCCUCUUCAAAUGUGGCAAAUCACACGUUUCUACGAAAUCCUCGCUUGGAGCUGUGACGCGUCAAAGUUUGUCUCAAUGUUAAGUCUAUGGGAUUUUUCGGCUGCUUUUUUGCCCCUGGGGCAAGUACCGUACCCCCGAUCGCUUAUAAAAGUCAUAGCACACGUGUCCUCAAUAGGCCGUUCGAUUUGACACCUCAUUCGUGGGUCUACGCCAAACGGUGCGGGACGAGUUAGGUGCCGAAGUUUUGUUAAGAGAUAUAAAAAAUAAGAAAAAUAAAAAUAAUAAAAAUAACUAGAUAGGUACAUUUCCUGAAGAAAAUGUGAGUGGUGCUUGCCGUGGCAAAACUCGUCAAAUAGCCUGCUUGAAAAGAACAGAAAUUGUGGUCAUAAAUAAAUCAACCCAGAAGUCUGUAUA